AAAUUGAAGAGUUUGAUCAUGGCUCAGAUUGAACGCUGGCGGCAGGCCUAACACAUGCAAGUCGAGCGGAAACGAGUUAUCUGAACCUUCGGGGGACGAUAACGGCGUCGAGCGGCGGACGGGUGAGUAAUGCCUAGGAAAUUGCCCUGAUGUGGGGGAUAACCAUUGGAAACGAUGGCUAAUACCGCAUGAUGCCUACGGGCCAAAGAGGGGGACCUUCGGGCCUCUCGCGUCAGGAUAUGCCUAGGUGGGAUUAGCUAGUUGGUGAGGUAAGGGCUCACCAAGGCGACGAUCCCUAGCUGGUCUGAGAGGAUGAUCAGCCACACUGGAACUGAGACACGGUCCAGACUCCUACGGGAGGCAGCAGUGGGGAAUAUUGCACAAUGGGCGCAAGCCUGAUGCAGCCAUGCCGCGUGUGUGAAGAAGGCCUUCGGGUUGUAAAGCACUUUCAGUCGUGAGGAAGGUAGUGUAGUUAAUAGCUGCAUUAUUUGACGUUAGCGACAGAAGAAGCACCGGCUAACUCCGUGCCAGCAGCCGCGGUAAUACGGAGGGUGCGAGCGUUAAUCGGAAUUACUGGGCGUAAAGCGCAUGCAGGUGGUUUGUUAAGUCAGAUGUGAAAGCCCGGGGCUCAACCUCGGAAUUGCAUUUGAAACUGGCAGACUAGAGUACUGUAGAGGGGGGUAGAAUUUCAGGUGUAGCGGUGAAAUGCGUAGAGAUCUGAAGGAAUACCGGUGGCGAAGGCGGCCCCCUGGACAGAUACUGACACUCAGA
rnacentral:rRNA from 1 species